rnacentral:rRNA from 1 species
GAUGAACGCUGGCGGCGUGCCUAAUACAUGCAAGUCGAGCGAACGGACGAGGAGCUUGCUCCUCUGACGUUAGCGGCGGACGGGUGAGUAACACGUGGAUAACCUACCUAUAAGACUGGGAUAACUUCGGGAAACCGGAGCUAAUACCGGAUGAUAUUUUGAACCGCAUGGUUCAAUAGUGAAAGACGGUUUUGCUGUCACUUAUAGAUGGAUCCGCGCUGCAUUAGCUAGUUGGUAAGGUAACGGCUUACCAAGGCAACGAUGCAUAGCCGACCUGAGAGGGUGAUCGGCCACACUGGAACUGAGACACGGUCCAGACUCCUACGGGAGGCAGCAGUAGGGAAUCUUCCGCAAUGGGCGAAAGCUUGACGGAGCAACGCCGCGUGAGUGAUGAAGGUCUUCGGAUCGUAAAACUCUGUUAUUAGGGAAGAACAAAUGUGUAAGUAACUAUGCACGUCUUGACGGUACCUAAUCAGAAAGCCACGGCUAACUACGUG